AUUUACUUACAAUUAGUGUAAAAACAACGGUGACAUUGAGAUUAAAUACUCUAGCAAUACUUGUCACAUCCCGAAAAUCGGGUUAGAAGAAAUUGGAUUGUGAAAUUAUGUUAAAGGAAAUUAAUUUGGUUUAAUAGUUAAGUAUUGUGCUUGUGUGUGUGAGAUUCUGGGUUCAAAUACUGUUCCAUGAAUUUUGUUAAUUUUUGCCCAAACUCCUAUCUUUGAGCUUAUAGCUUAAGUAUUAUUUUUGCUCAAUUGAUGAUAAGAAUGAGUUUAUUAGUUCAGUGGUUAGGUGUCAACUUAUAAACUCAGGGCAAAUUCUGAUAAGGAUAACUAAUCAGAUGUAUUAGGAGUUAGUGGGUGGUUUAAAAAAAAAAAAGAAUUAUCUCCUAAUUUCUCUUCCAUGUUCCCCACUUUUUCCCUGAUUUUGUUUUUCACCUUAGUUUUCUAGAGUUGUUGAAAUUAAUCUGAUGUUUCUUUUCCCAAAAUAUUCCUUCUUCUUUUCUCUAUUUUGAUCUCUGCAAAAACUCCUUCUCUUCUUUAUUUUGUUUCCAAUUAUUAUUAUGGAGACUCUAUUUUUCUGCUAACCUUUGUGCUGUGCAUUUUGAACGAGAGUUAGCGAGUUCAUCAUUAUGUAAGUGUCAUUCAUGUUCUUUUCUUUUUAUUUUUCCCAUAGUAUGUUAUUUAUUUUUUCUGGUUUUGUGUAAGAUGAAUGGUUCUAAUGCAUAUUUAGUUUUGUUUUGAUCGUUAAUGGCCUCUUGUAGGUGAGGAUUGUUUUAGCAUUUAUUUAUUCAACGUAUAAUGGGUUUUAGGAAAUACUGCUGCAAGUGUGGGUGCUGGAAUUGCGUUUGUUAAAUCGGUAUCAAAAAACGACCAGGUAAUCGGUAAAUUAGAAUUGGACGACGUGCGGGAGCUCGGGUGGUUUAAUCAGUUAAAUUAAAAAAAUGGUGAUUUUCGUAAUUUUUUAUUUUGGUAUUUUGGGAACUGUAAUUUAUUUUUGGGCUUUGUUUUGGUUUCUGUUUAAUUCGUCGGUAUUGAUAUUUGCGAACGUGAUACUACAAAACCUCACAAGUUAAAUUUAAAAUUCGGUUUUCUAAAUUAAAA